rnacentral:rRNA from 1 species
GUUUAAGGCCAUACACUCCGAACACACCCAAUCCUGUCUGACCUCAGAAGCUACGUAGGGUGAGGCCUCAUUAGUACCUGGAUGGGAAAGUGCCUGAGAAUACAAGGCGCUGUAGGCC